CCUCAUAGCUCAGUUGGUAAAUCAUCUGCCUGCAAUGCAGGAGACCUGGGUUCAAUUCCCGGAUCAGGA
rnacentral:tRNA from 1 species